GCUGUACAGGAGGCAUGGCUGGGGAGGCCUCAGAAAACUUACAAUCAUGGCAGAAGGUGAAGGGGAAGCCAGCACAUCUUCAUAUGAUGGCAGGAACUUUAUAUGUUAUAGAAGUUAGCCCCAAGAAUGAAAUCGUGUCCUUUGCCAAAACAUGGAUGGAGCUAGAGGCCUUUAUCCUAAGGUGCUCUAUGCUUAGCCCAUCAUAGAUUGUGGCCCUUCAUUCCUGCAUUUGAUGAAUCCAGGGAACCCUCUCUCCAACACCCUUGGCCUCUCUGCAACUUUCUAACAUCAGGCAGAGUCAGAGGCACCAUCCCCAGAAGCUACAAAUCUUCAGCAUUCUCCACUCUGUGAAGUCAGAGGAAUGGCGGGACCAUAGCUCUGAGCUCAUUGGCAAAUACAACUAAUUUCAAUUUCUGGAAUGGAAGCAGUCAGAUAUUCUUCUGACUGCACGCGUAUGUGGGAGUGCCAUGUUGAAGAGUGGAAAAUAUGGAAGAUCAGUCCCUACAAACUUAAUAGGAGAAUGACAUUCAGAUUUCCCGAGUAUUUUGCAUGUCCAACUGAAAACUGAAGUAGGUUUAUGAGAGAAUGCACGCCUACCUGGAUGGGUCUGGGGAGUGUGUCACUGUCACCGCAGAUAAUUGACAAGGGCUGAUCAAAUAGCGAUGCUUUCAAGUCUGUCUCCAAAGCCCCAGAAAAAUCUGAUGCAGGGGAGAGCCUUCUCAUGAGAAAGGGCCAGGACAGCACCUUCUUUCUCUUCUUAACUUCUACAGCCAAGAAAACAAGGCAACGAGAAAAAUUAGACUACAGUGUUAAGAAGCAAAGAUCCAGUAUUCACCUGAGCAGUGAAGAUAAUCUCUGGUUCUAGAGAACCCAGAAAUAAAGCCACAUGUUUACAACUAAGUUAUCUUCAACAAAACUGACAAGAACUUUCAUUGGGGAAAGGACACCCUUUUCAAUAAAUGGUGCUGGGAGAAUUGGAUAUCCACAUGCCGAAGAAUGAAACUGGACCUGUAUCUCUCACCAUAUAAAAAAAAUCAACUCAAAAUGGAUUAAAACCAACCGAAGACCCCAAACUGUAAAAAUACUAGAAGAAAACUUAGGGAAAACUCUCCUGGAGAUUGGUCUAGGAGAAUAAUUUAUGACUAAGACCUCAAAAGCACAGGCAACAAAAACAAAAAUAGACAAAUGGGACUUAACUAAACUAAAAAGCUUCUACACAGCAAAAGAAAUAAUCAACAGAGUAAAGAGACAAUCAGUUGAAUGAGAAAAAAAUAUUUGCAAACUAUUCUUCUGACAGGGGACUAAUAUCCAGAAUAUACAAGGAAUUCAAACAACUCGACAGGAAGAAUCAAAUAAUCCCAUUAAAAAGGGGGCAAAGGACAUGUAUAGAUAUUUCUCACAAGAAGGUAUACAAAUGGCCAAAGAUAUAUGAAAAAAAUGCUCAACAUUGCUAAUCAUCAGAGAAAUGCAAAUCAAAACAAUGAGAUAUCAUUUUACCCCAGUUAGAAUGGCUGUUAUUAAAAAGAAAAAAUAAGAGAUGUUGGCAAGGAUGUGAAGAAAAGGAAACUCUUAUACACUGUUGGUGGGAAUGUAAACUAGUACAGCCAUUAUGGAAAACAGUAUGGACAUCUCUCAAAAAACUGAAAAUAGAAUUACUAUUCUAUCCAGCAAUUCCACAACUGGGUUUUUAGCCAAAGGAAAAGAAAUCAAUAUAUAAAGGGAUCCUUGCACUCCUAUGUCUAUUACAGCACUAUUUACAAGACAAUGAUAUGGAAUCAACUAAGUGCCCAUCAACAGAAGAAUGGAUAAAGAAAAUGUGGUAUAUAUACACAGUGGAACCCUAUUCAGCCAGAAAGAAGAAUGAAAUCAAGUCAUUUGCAGCAAUGUACCUGGAACUGGAGGUCAUUAUUGUAAGUGAAAUAAGCCAAGCAUAAAAAGACAAAUAUCUCAUGUUCUCCCACUUAGAUGUGAGAGCUGAAAUAUCUGAUCACAUGGUGGUAGAAAGUGGAAAGAGAGAACAGAGAUGGGAAGGGUGAUUGGGGUAAAGGGGUGAGGAUGAAGAGAACUGGGUUAAAGAACACACAUACAAUUAGAUAGAAAUAAAUUCAAUUUGUAAAAAAUAAUUUAAAAAAUUAGAGAUGGGAUCUCGCUGAGUUGUCUAGGCUGGCCUUAAACUCCUGGGCACAAGCAAUCCUCCCACCCUGGCCUCCCAAAGUGUUGGGAUUAUAGGCUUGAGCCACCGUACUGGGCCUAAAUUCAUUGUUUGGUAGCAGAGCAGGAUGAGUAUGGUUAAACAAAAAUGUAUUGUACGUGGGUGAUGGAUAUCCUAAAUACCCUGACUUGAUCAGUAUACAUUAUAUACAUGUAACAAAAUUUCACAUGUACCCCAU
ensembl:lncRNA TAGAP-AS1 TAGAP antisense RNA 1